GACGAACGUUGGCGGCGUGCUUAAUACAUGCAAGUCAACUGAAGCAGUGGUAGCAAUAUCGCUGUGGAGGUGGCGCACGGGUGAGUAACACGUAGGUAAUCUGCCUUCAGGUCUGGCAUAACUCCGGGAAACCGGGGCUAAUAGCAGAUGAUGCAGCGGCUCGACAUCGAGACAGUUGUUAAAGCUAUGGCGCCUGAAGAUGAGCCUGCGUCUGAUUAGCUAGUUGGCGGGGUAACGGCCCACCAAGGCAACGAUCAGUAGCUGGUCUGAGAGGAUGAUCAGCAACACUGGAACUGAGACACGGUCCAGACUCCUACGGGAGGCAGCAGUAAGGAAUAUUGCUCAAUGGGAGAAAUACUGAAGCAGCAACGCCGCGUGAGGGACGAAGGGCUUUUGCUUGUAAACCUCUGUAGUGAGAGAAAAAAAUCCCAAUCUUUGGGACAUGAUGGUAUCUCAAAAGUAAGCCCCGGCUAACUACGUG
rnacentral:rRNA from 1 species